GACGAACGCUGGCGGCGUGCUUAACACAUGCAAGUCGAACGGAAAGGCCCCUUUGGGGGUCCUCGAGUGGCGAACGGGUGCGUAACACGUGAGUAACCUGCCCUUGACUUCGGGAUAACUUCAGGAAACUGGGGCUAAUACCGGAUAGGAAUUCUUGCUGCAUGGUGGGGGUUGGAAAGCUUCGGCGGUUUUGGAUGGACUCGCGGCUUAUCAGCUUGUUGGUGGGGUAGUGGCUUACCAAGGCUUUGACGGGUAGCCGGCCUGAGAGGGGGACCGGCCACAUUGGGACUGAGAUACGGCCCAGACUCCUACGGGAGGCAGCAGGGGGGAAUAUUGCACAAUGGGCGGAGGCCGGAUGCAGCAACGCCGCGUGCGGGAUGACGGCCUUCGGGUUGUAAACCGCUUUCGGAAGGGGCGAAGCUUGUGGUGACGGUACCUGAAGAAGAAGCACCGGCUAACUACGU
rnacentral:rRNA from 1 species